CAAUUCUUAGAUUUGUGUGUAACGUUUUCAGAAAAGAGGCAAUGUUUUGAAAACGUGUGUAACAUGCAGCUGGCCACUGUUUGUGUUAGUUCCAGUAGGUGGCGCCGUGCGUGUCACAGUGAUGUACCUUCAUGACGCUGACGGGAUGGUGUCAGCCGCUCGGCUCACAUGCGUCCCAGACAGAGGAACGUUUCCCACGUUCUCCUGGCAUCUGAACCAUUCCUCCCUUCCAGCAGAGGGCGCUCACGCGGUCACUCAUCAAGGUCAGAUCUUGAUCCUCACAGAAGUCAGUGCUGGGUUUUACGGCUGCAGGGCGAGGGACAGUUUUAACGACAGCUCACUCUGGGUGAAGAGCGAGGACAUCUUUAUUCAGAAGAGAGAUUUGUCGGCGACACCCAUGGAGGUCAUUGCAUUGGUUUUCUGUGGUUUCCUGUCGAUUGUGAUUGUGUUUUGCUCGUUCUUUAUGUUCUGGUGCUCCAAGCGCAGAAACAACACCUGCAAACAUCACAGUAACCAGGACGUGAUCCAGUCUGAGAUGACAACAAUGGACGCUCCUGUAGUUUCCUCUGAACCUCAACCUGAGGAAAUGAAAACCGUCAUCAUGGAGUUUGAUUCCUAAAGAUCCAGACCAGACCUGGAGCCAGUGUCCUGCAGAGACGUCUCAGAGAUCCUGAACUCUUUGAUUAGCUGGUUCAGAUGUGUUUAGUUAAGCUCAAAGACGAACUCUGACUGGACAUCCAUCACUACUGUGCCAUUUUAUGUUUUCUAUCAAUGAGAUUGUAAGGCUUUUAUAUAGCUACCAAAUAAAUGUUUCAUUUACCAAAUGCUUUCUACUGGAUACUGAUUCCCAACACAAACAUCUCUCUUAAGACAGCUUUUAUAUUUACUUAUAUAGUUAUGUUCAUAUUUUGUAGUUUAAAUCUAAUCCUUUAAAAAGUGGCUGUCAUAAAAACAUAAAUAAUGUUAAAUAAUGAUGCCGUUGCGUAAAAAAUAUUGAAUAUCGAGUUCAUGCUCAUAUAAGGGGUUUUACUUACCUCUUUACGCGGUUGAAACACUGAUUGAACGAUUACAUUAGACAUGAUUUAAUUCAGUGAGAUGUUCGGUUUCUUCCAACAUAACUUCUGAUGAUCAUUCAUGUUUAUUUUGUGCCAUAACUAGUAGUAAAGAGGAAGAGGUGAUGAUCGGCCACAGCGAUCUCAAGCCAAAAUGGCAUUUGACUGAAUUUAAAAGGAUUUUGAAUCUUGAGAUUUAAGAAUUGAUAUUAAGAUCACAUAAAUAAAGUAAGUUUAAUCAAUUAACUUAUAUAAGAGUCAACCAAGCCGCAGUCUAUGGUGGGAUAUUUCACCACUUUACUUUUGUGCUGUUGCUAAACUCUAAACUAAGUUUUAAUAAUAUGCCAAAAAGAGACUAAUUUGGUGUUUUUGCCAGUUUUGUUGGUGCAUAAAAUAAAAAAAGGCACGUUUUGUCCAGCAUAGAUACCUGAACAAACCUGGAUGAAUCUGAAAAAUAAAACAAAAAACUAAAUUAUAUAAUAUAAAUGUCGUUUAUCUCACUAUAAAACUGACUGAGCUUUACCAAAUGUCUUUGUAUGACAGACAUCAAAGAAAACAGACACAUGCUCAGGCUGCACUGGUGCAUUAACACAUGUGUAUUGAUGAUAUUAGUGCAGUACUUUGCUCAUUUAUGUAGAUGUUCUCUACGAUCCUCCGUGUCGUUUGCGCUGGCUUCUGUCCUAUCUGUCCUCAACACUUGUGCUGUUU
ensembl:lncRNA